rnacentral:rRNA from 1 species
UCCAGACUCCUACGGGAGGCAGCAGUGGGGAAUAUUGCACAAUGGGGGAAACCCUGAUGCAGCGACGCCGCGUGAGUGAAGAAGUAUUUCGGUAUGUAAAGCUCUCUCAGCAGGGAAGAUAAUGACGGUACCUGACUAAGAAGCCCCGGCUAACUACGUGCCAGCAGCCGCGGUAAUACGUAGGGGGCAAGCGUUAUCCGGAUUUACUGGGUGUAAAGGGUGCGCAGGUGGCAGGGCAAGUCAGAUGUGAAAGCCCGGGGCUCAACCCCGGUAUUGCAUUUGAAACUGUCCGGCUAGAGUGCAGGAGAGGUAAGCGGAAUUCCUAGUGUAGCGGUGAAAUGCGUAGAUAUUAGGAGGAACACCAGUGGCGAAGGCGGCUUACUGGACUGUAACUGACACUGAGGCACGAAAGCGUGGGGAGCAAACAGGAUUAGAUACCCUAGUA